AACCCUAAUCAAUAGACAUACGGCGUAAAGCGUGUUUAAGAUUAUUCCAACAAUAAAGCCAAAUCUUAGCUAAACUGUAAAAAGUCCUAGCUAUUGUAAGACCCAUUACGAAAGUAGCUUUAAAUUAUCUGAAUACACGACAGCUAAGAUCCAAACUGGGAUUAGAUACCCCACUAUGCUUAGCCUUAAACUUAAAAUAUUAAAAUAACAAAAUUUCUCGCCAGAGUACUACUAGCCACAGCCUAAAACUCAAAGGACUUGGCGGUGCUUCACAUCCCCCUAGAGGAGCCUGUUCUAUAAUCGAUAAACCCCGAUAAACCUCACCAACCCUUGCCAACU
rnacentral:rRNA from 1 species